rnacentral:ncRNA from 1 species
AGUCGGGCUUAGUGAUCCGGNGGUUCCGAGUGGAAGGGCCAUCGCUCAACGGAUAAAAGCUACCCCGGGGAUAACAGGCUUAUCUCCCCCAAGAGUCCACAUCGACGGGGAGGUUUGGCACCUCGAUGUCGGCUCGUCUCAUCCUGGGGCUGGAGUAGGUCCCAAGGGUUGGGCUGUUCGCCCAUUAAAGAGGCACGCGAGCUGGGUUCAGAACGUCGUGAGACAGUUCGGUCCCUAUCCGUCGCAGGCGUAGGAAAUUUGAGAGGAGCUGUCCUUAGUACGAGAGGACCGGGAUGGACGCACCUCUGGUGCACCAGUUGUCACGCCAGUGGCACAGCUGGGUAGCUAUGUGCGGAAUGGAUAAGCGCUGAAGGCAUCUAAGCGCGAAGCCAACCUCAAGAUAAGAUUUCCCACUUCAUAGAAGGUAAGAUCCCAGAAAGACUAUCUGGUUGAUAGGCCCAGGGUGUAAGUGCAGCAAUGCAUUCAGCUGAUGGGUACUAAUAGAUCGAGGACUUGACCAA